UCUUACACAUUCUGUCUGGAUGUCUGUCUGAACGUGAUUUAAUAAGUCUUAAAACUUUCAACAACGGAUCUCUUGGUUCUCGCAUCGAUGAAGAACGCAGCGAAAUGCGAUAAGUAGUGUGAAUUGCAGAAUUCCGUGAAUCAUCGAAUCUUUGAACGCACAUUGCGCCUCCUGGCAUUCCGGGAGGCAUGCCCGUUCGAGCGUCAUU
rnacentral:rRNA from 1 species